UUAAUUGAAACCAAAAUAGAGGUAAAUCACUGUUAAUGAUUAAAUUGAGUAACUCCACAACUCCAAUUAAA
rnacentral:tRNA from 1 species